GUUGAGAUUCUUGGGAGGAGGUUGGAAUGAGUCCAAGAGCUGGAUCCAAGAGCAACAAUGGAUGCACACCCAGAGGCUCAAAGAGGUUUUCCAAGGACACACCAGCCAGAGAGGGGCAGCCUGAGCCCUGAGCCCAUGUUCCUAACCACUGUGCCACCUGCCUCCCUUCCAGGGAAGCAGAGAGGGUCCAGAGAAGCAAGGAGCCUGCCACGUUCACACAGGCCUCUUGACCCCAAGGCCUCUCUUCUCACUUCCGUGCCCACAUCAUCCAGGCCCUCCAUAUCUUCCAGACAUCACGCGGGCAGCUGCUUCACAGGAGAGGAACACAAAAUAAAUGUGUCCCGCACUGAGCUACCUCUUGAGAUUCCUGCAGAAGAUUAAUGAAGUCUUAUCAAAGAACACAUGGAUUCAUGCCGACCCGCCAAGUCGAUCGGGGACUGGCAGGACUGUCAUUUUUAUCAGAUGCUACGGAUCUUCCUCAGUUUACAAUGGCGUAACGUCCUGAUCAACCCAUCCCAGCUUGAAAACAUUGUUAAGUCAGAAAUGCAUUUAAUACGCACCUCACCUACCGAGCAUCAUGGCUUAGCCUAGCCGACCUUCAACGUGCUCAGGAGACUGACGUCAGCCUACAGUUGGGCAAAAUCAUAUACACAAAGCCUAUUUUAUAAUAAAGCAUGAAUGUCUCGUGUAA